CACACAGCUACUGAGGCAGCUGAGGCGCUGAGAGGUAAAACAACUUUCCUAUGAUCACAGAACUGGUGCCUUGGGCAGCAAGGUCUUCUGACUGCAAAUCCAGCACAUCCUGCAGUGUGACUGUUUACCCAGUGGAGAUUCCCCGUGCUUUGCCCAACCCAAGAAUGCCUGCUGACAUACCAUUUUUUUUCACCUGGGAAGCAAGAUCUAGCAGCCAAUGGGAUUCUGCCUGUACUUUGCAUUGCCUCUUCAGAUUGUUCAGGUACCAAAUCUGGUAUCAAGCCUUAUAAAAAUAAGACCCUGGGAAGAAGAGUGCAUCUCAGAUCAUGAAGAAGAUCUAUUUCAUUAGAGGGGACCAUGGACCCUUUAAUAAAGACCCAUUGGCUCAGAGCUCUGCCUCA